AGCCGACAGAGCCUGACAGCCUCAGUACCAAGUGGCUUUUUCUGGAGAAGGCUGAGGGCAGGAAAUCAAAAGGACAGACACCAAAGGAACCCAGAAAGGAUGGCCCACCUGCAGGCCAGGAGGCUGUUAGGAGGAGCCGGAGAACAUUCCAGAACAGACUCAACACUCGCCACCAGAGGCCGAAACUGCCUUCGACGCAGACUCAGGUGGACAGACACAGACGGGAUGUGCUGAGAACGAGGGUGGCCAGCGGGGGGCGCUCUGGCCCGCACCACUGAUUCCAGAUGCCGCUUCGGAGGCCGGCUCCACGGUGGGGAGGCCGAGCGGCCCCACCCUGCUCGGUGGCUGGGCCCCGGCUGGGUCAAGCCACAAGUGACCAGCAGCUGCUGAUGGAGCAGCCAGUGACCCUUGGGCAGGGAGGCGGCCUCCAAGCCAGGUCCAAAGGCCAGAGCACUGCCCGCUUGGGUGCGGCCACCCUCAAGACGGGCUUAUAGUUAUAAGUGGUUCCAAAAACAGAAAACCACCACGUCCCACAGCAAGUGAGGAUCGCGAGGGCCAGCCACAGCGAGGCUCCAGCUCACACUCGGUGGCUGCUGACUCUUCCUUGGGGCCAAAGAUGAAGGGACGGACGUGUCUGUAAGCAGCUCAGAGCCCCGGAGGCCUGGAUGCUGCCUGGACAGCUCGGAUCCACGCGAGCCCUGGGCUGAGUCCUCAUCAGACCUGCCUUGUCCCUGGCCAGGAGAGGCUAAGGCAGGAAGAGCGGGGGACACAGCGUGGGCGCUCCAGGGGAGACGAGUGGCCCGAGCAGCGCCCCCCAGGAGCUGGGCAGGUGGCGGAACCUGCUCCACUCCGAGGCAGGAGAAGGUAGGACGGACCGAGCCGUAGCCGGUGGGAAGUGGUCUGGAGCACUCCCUGUCCCCACCAGUGACGGGGUGACGGGCAGCCCCUGGACCCACCUGCGGAGGAGCUUGGCCUUCAGUGAGGCGCGGGAG